rnacentral:rRNA from 1 species
CUUGCUGUUGGUGGAUGAGUGGCGAACGGGUGAGUAACACGUGAGUAACCUGCCCCUGAUUUCGGGAUAAGCCUGGGAAACUGGGUCUAAUACCGGAUACGACCUUUCCUCGCAUGUUGGUUGGUGGAAAGUUUUUCGAUCGGGGAUGGGCUCGCGGCCUAUCAGCUUGUUGGUGGGGUAAUGGCCUACCAAGGCGACGACGGGUAGCCGGCCUGAGAGGGCGACCGGCCACACUGGGACUGAGACACGGCCCAGACUCCUACGGGAGGCAGCAGUGGGGAAUAUUGCACAAUGGGGGAAACCCUGAUGCAGCGACGCAGCGUGCGGGAUGACGGCCUUCGGGUUGUAAACCGCUUUCAGCAGGGAAGAAGCGAGAGUGACGGUACCUGCAGAAGAAGUACCGGCUAACUACGUGCCAGCAGCCGCGGUAAUACGUAGGGUACGAGCGUUGUCCGGAAUUAUUGGGCGUAAAGAGCUCGUAGGUGGUUGGUCACGUCUGCUGUGGAAACGCAACGCUUAACGUUGCGCGUGCAGUGGGUACGGGCUGACUAGAGUGCAGUAGGGGAGUCUGGAAUUCCUGGUGUAGCGGUGAAAUGCGCAGAUAUCAGGAGGAACACCGGUGGCGAAGGCGGGACUCUGGGCUGUAACUGACACUGAGGA